GUAAAUUUCAGUUUUAACUGGGAUCACAAAAUGUCCAAAUUCACUAGGACUCGUGAAUCAAGUUCCAAUUUCAAGGCACAAUUUAGAACAAUUCAGUAAUAACAAGAUUAAAGGAUAUUAGAUUUAACAACGGAUCUUAGUGCGCAUGCAGAAGUGACACAAAGUCAAUGAUAUGCAACCUUUCAAAGUUAAGUAAAAAGAUGGUGAAAAAUGUAGUCACAGAACAUAGUAAGGAUUCAAAAAUUGCAAACCAAGAUGGUGCUUUGGAUGUUUGACCAACAUAAGCACCACAGGCAUGAAAAGAGGUCAAGAAGUCAACACAAUGUUCAGUAGUUUCAAAUUGUUUGCAAGUUUUCUAGAUCUAGGGUUUCAACCCAAAUCUUACAAGAAACACCAAAUAUUUAAGUUAGAAAAUAAUUUUGUAACCAAGAACAGCCACUAAAGGCAGGAUCAUUCAUUGUGUUUGGAUCUAAGGUUAUAAAAAUACUAGAUCUAAAUAGUUCGAACUGUGUAAAAAGUUUUUCUUGUGUCAAAUAUUCAAUUGAAAGUUCAAUAAACCUUCCGGUGACUAGAUCUUUCAAAAAUAGAUCUAGGGUUUUGGAAAAAACUUUGAGAUCUUAAAUGAUUGAAACCAAAAUCAACUAUGAAAAUUGAUUUUUUACGGUCAAUCGACCAUCGAAAAUCGAAAAAUAGAUAGUUUAAUCUCUGAUACGACUAUUAUACAAAUAUUACUCUUCAAAGAUUCAAAUCAUACAAACCCUUCAGAGAAGUUUACAACUAGAACCAGAACACGAAAGAUAUCAAGAUAUCUCAAAAUGGGCUCAGAUUAUAUUGUACCAUUUUGUAUCCUAGUAGCCACAAACCCAGAUCCUUUAACGUUGAAGUUGCUUCUAUGGAUCAAAAGAUCUCAACCUAGAUCUCGAACAAUCUUCUCACAAGGAUUCACUUAGAAUACUGAGCAAAACUUCCAAUCAAAGGUUGAACUCGAAGGGGACAAGACGAACUGAAGACAGGAAGAAAAUCCUAGUCUCUCAAAAGAAAAUCAGACAAUUGGAAUGAUUAGGGCAAUAAUAGAAGCCCCUAUUUAUACCCCUAACCACCACCAUUGAAGUUGCAUUAUGGAACAUAAUUUCAGCCCUUUAUGUUGGUUCCAGAUUUUGGGGCAAACUCAUGAAAUUAUCAUGCAAUAGUUUACCAAUCCACAGGAAUUUGGAACCCAAGUAAAAGUCAUUGAAGACGCAACUACUACAUGCAAAAGCCAAGGAUAAAAGGUAUAACUUCCCAAAAGAUUAAAUAAGUUAUAUAAAGAAAGAUUUAUGAUAAAGGUACAUAAAAGGUGAUGUUUCCAGACGACAAAUGUGCAUCUUUCCAAGUGCUCAAAUCCCAUAAGUUCUAAAUUCAUAAAAGUUGAAAGCUUAGUAUAAAUUAAUUAAGACCAUUGGAAAAUGUAGAUAUUUC
rnacentral:lncRNA from 1 species